rnacentral:pre_miRNA from 1 species
UUAACAGAUUAUUGUAUUCGACUGUAUUCACGGCAUGAAACAGGGGAUUACACUAUUUUUAAACGGAAAGUGAAUCAAUUAACAUAAUAUACUCCU